GUUUGCUAUUUUUUUUAGGAACCUUGGGAAAUCGGGCUUACGAGUAUCAUGUCUAGGGCUGGGCACAUGGGUGACAUUUGGUGGUCAAAUAACUGAUGAGGUAGCUGAGCAGCUGAUGACGCUGGCGUACGAGAACGGUAUCAAUCUGUUUGACACAGCCGAGGUGUAUGCGGCA